rnacentral:snRNA from 14 species
GUGCUCCCUUUGCAGCACAUAUUCUAAAAUUGGAAUGAUACAGAGAAGAUUAGCAUGGCCCCUGCACAAGGAUGGCAUGCAAAUUCGUGAGCGUUCCAUAUUUUU